rnacentral:rRNA from 1 species
AUUGAACGCUGGCGGCAGGCCUAACACAUGCAAGUCGAACGGUAACAGGAAACAGCUUGCUGUUUCGCUGACGAGUGGCGGACGGGUGAGUAAUGUCUGGGAAACUGCCUGAUGGAGGGGGAUAACUACUGGAAACGGUAGCUAAUACCGCAUAACGUCGCAAGACCAAAGAGGGGGACCCUCGGGCCUCUUGCCAUCGGAUGUGCCCAGAUGGGAUUAGCUUGUUGGCGGGGUAACGGCUCACCAAGGCGACGAUCCCUAGCUGGUCUGAGAGGAUGACCAGCCACACUGGAACUGAGACACGGUCCAGACUCCUACGGGAGGCAGCAGUGGGGAAUAUUGCACAAUGGGCGCAAGCCUGAUGCAGCCAUGCCGCGUGUAUGAAGAAGGCCUUCGGGUUGUAAAGUACUUUCAGCGGGGAGGAAGGGAGUAAAGUUAAUACCUUUGCUCAUUGACGUUACCCGCAGAAGAAGCACCGGCUAACUCCGUG